GUUAUCGUGGCCGAGUGGUUAAGUCGAUGGGAUCUAUAUAUUUUGGUAUCUUUCCGCGCAGGUUCGAAUCCUGCCGACAUCG
rnacentral:tRNA from 1 species